CCUACUCACACACGUACACAAAAAGACCAAGACCUACACCCUUUAUAGAGAGACGCAACCUCGUCCCCUUUUGUCGUCGUCUCCAUCAACGUACUCGAACCCUUUCCUUCUCGCUCUUCAGCUUCUUCAAUACACACACAUCAGAUCCCUUCCCCAUUCGAGAGUGAGCGCAGCUUUUUUCUCUUUCUUCAACCUUCUUCUUCAAAGAAAUGAAGCAGCUGUUACACUCACACACAGCCUCAACAAGGGAGAACGAACAGCCCUAGCAACCUUUGAUCUUCAUCUUCAAAUUUUCGAUUUUCAAACAAAGUUUUCUUCUUCUUUUUACCGUUUUUGAAUUUCAAUUUUAAUUUGAGGUUGGCUCAGAUUUCAGGAAAAAAACGCCAAAGUAGCUCGAGUUUCUCUUCUUAUUCGAUUCUGGUUUCACAAAUGGAUUUCGUGAGAGACCCGUUUGGAGCUGACGAGCUUGGGUGCCGCUCAAGGUUUAACUUCGGAAUUCCUAUCCGAAUUUGCUGCUGUUUUCUCGGACAGGUUUUGUGGAUUGGGAGUUUGUAUCUAUUGAUUCUCAAAACCUUAAUAGAAUUUUGGGACUUAAUAGGUUUAUUCUUCCCCUUUCUUACUUCUACUUUUAGCAUUAAUUUUCAAUAUAAUUUGGAGAAUGGUAUUAUCCUCUGGUUCAAUAAUUGGUUUCCUAUUUGAGAUUGGUCGACUCUUUUGUAUUUUGAUUUAGCUGCCUUCGUAGGAAUUAUCUUUGCUAUAUUGAGUAGCUCAUGGAUAUUGUAGAGGUAUUAUCCUCAAAGCUGAAAGUUGGCUUAGUUUAUGAUUCUCAUGCCUGAUGCUUUACCAUAGUCCCUUAUUUCAACAACAACAACAACUACCCAGUAUAUUCUUAUCAGGAGGGGUGCGGCUUAGUUUAUGUAUCUCAUGCCUGAUGCCUUACUAUAGUCCCUUAUUUCAUUCUUGAAAUUUCAAUUAUAAAAGGAGGUCAUUGUCUUGGAAAAUUUGGAGAAUAUGAUUAUUUUUGUGAAGGUUAAUCAUCUAGCUAAGCAAGACUGUGAGUGUGAGAUUUAAGAGAGCAACAUUAGUGUCCUUUAGUUGGCAGAAGAGGGAUUAGUAGAAUAUCUAAAUAGUUCUUAGCAUAUUUUUAUAUAUUCUCUCUUAUUUCAUUUGU
rnacentral:lncRNA from 1 species